GAAAAAACAACAGAUAAAAGAUGGCUCCGUUGCCAAUUCGUCUGUGUUGUGCCGCGGUCAGAUGGACCCCUGUUGUUUUUAUUACUGCUAUUAUCAUUUGGUCAUAUUAUGCCUACGUUGUAGAGAUGUGUAUCUUCACUGUGGACAGCGUGGUGGAAAAAGUAAUUUAUCUGCUACUGUAUCAUCCUGCAGCCUUCAUGUUUGCUUGGGCUUAUUGGCAAACAAUAUUUGCCAGAGUUGGAAGUGUUCCCAAAGAGUUUUACCUAAGCAAGCAUGAGGUGGAGCUGUUUGAUCGUGAGACCAGCGAAGACCGAAAGAGGGAACUGCUCAUACAGUAUGGACGCAACCUGCCCAUUUUGAAUCGCACUGUAUCGGGAUGUCCUCGUUACUGCGACAAGUGCAAAUGUAUUAAACCAGACCGGUGCCACCAUUGUUCUGUGUGUGGGAUGUGUAUAUUGAAGAUGGAUCAUCAUUGUCCAUGGGUCAACAACUGUGUGGGAUUCACCAACUACAAAUUCUUUGUUCUCUUCCUUGGUUACGGACUCCUAUACUGCCUAUAUAUAGCAUCCACUAGUUUAAAAUACUUUAUACAAUUUUGGGAGGGUGGAAUUGGCAGCUCCGGUACUGGUCGCUUUCAUAUUUUAUUUCUGUUUUUUGUCUCUAUAAUGUUUGGUAUCAGUUUGAUAUCUUUAUUUGGAUACCACCUAUACCUAUCUACUCACAACAGAUCAACAUUAGAGGCGUUCCGAGCCCCCAUUUUUCAGAGUGGGCCAGACAAAGACGGUUUCAGUCUGGGAAGUAGGGGUAAUUUCCAGGAAGUAUUUGGAGACAAAAGAAUGUUUUGGUUUCUACCCAUGUUUUCCAGCCUAGGUGAUGGGGUGUCCUUCCCGUCUCGGCUCCCGCCGGCCACUAUGAGUUAUCAGACAAUGGGCAACACCCCCAGUUUAGGUGAUGGUGUGAACUACCCGACGCGAACCGUUGAUCUGGAUUCUGAUGAUCUUCUAGGACAGAGACAGCGCUGGAUGGAAGAGGGGGAUGAUGACAUGACACACUCAGAAUAUUACCUUGGCCUAACACUAGUGCGAUAUGCGCACGCUCCAGGUCAGUUGUCAGUCUACGAUACCUUUACGUUGAAGUUGUGUUGAAGUUUUGUCAAAUGUUAAUUAAGCAAUCAAGUUAAGUGGAAACUUUAAUUUUGAAAUAAGUACAGUACACAUUAUUCGGUAUGUUUAUUAGGUGCUUUGUUAUUAUAAAGUUAUUUGAGUUACAAACGUUGAAUUCGUUUGCAACUACAGGGGUAGUAGGCCUUUUGGCAAUGACCGAGCAAUUGUGAAUUUUAUUUUUUUGUUAAAAAAAAAAAAAUUAAACAAUUAUUUAACUAAGUAAAUUCUUUGGCUUGGCUUUGUGAAAAGAUGUCAGUUGUAUUGCAUUUUCAAAGAAAAUUGUGACGUGUCAGAAAGUCUGGCGAAACUUCGACUUGUUUCAUGAUGAAAACUAACCUCGGGCCACCAUCAUUUUAUAGACAUUUGAUUCUAGGUGUUAUUUAAAGGGACACUCUUGAGUUUGCUGCAUUGUAAGAUGUUUCCGACAAAUAAAAUAUUUCUACGAUUAAACUUGCAUAUUAAUUAAAGUUUUUUGUUUAGAAUAGCAGUGUCUGUAUAUUCAAUGUGUUUCUGGUCGCCUUAAUAUUUGAAAGAAGCCCAAACUGGAUUUUGUCUUGUAAUAAUUUUGUACGUACAAAAAAAUUAUAUUUUAAUAAAUAAAUGAGUGUUUAUUAUAGUGUUAAUGUUCCGGUUAAGUUGAGUGAUUAUGUCUGUUCUUAAUGAAUUAUUGUUCCUGAUACAUUAUCUAAUUAUGUCUAUUGUUAGUGAAUGAUUGUUCCCGAUACAUUAUCUAAUUAUGUCUAUUGUUAGUGAAUGAUUGUUCCUGAUACAUUAUCUAAUUAUGUCUAUUGUUAGUGAAUGAUUGUUCCUGAUACAUUGUUGUUGUUUUUUGUCUGUUGGUGAAUGAGUGUUAUUGACAUCUGUACAUAACUAUUGUCUUAUUAUGUAAUUUGAUAACAAAUGUUCCUGAUAUAUUGUCCAAUUCUCUCUGUGUGCGUGUGUGCAUGUGUGCGUGUGCAUGUUUAAUUAUCUGUCUGUCUUUCUGUCUGUCUGUCCAAACCAGUGAUUUGGUGAAAUGCCUGAAAGAUUCAGUUAUUUGGUGAAAUGGCAUUUCUCUUGAACUAUAUAUCAGAGGGUUGUAUAAUAUAUAUUUUUAAUGUGUAUACAGAUUAACUUAGCAUAGAUAUAUGUGUGGUCUGUAAUUGUGUGUGUGGGUCUGGUGUGUAGGUGUUCAUGAUACCUGGUCUCUGGUUAAAUAUAUUGCUGAAGUCUGGAUGUUCACUAUGCUUGUGUAUGUUGUUAAUUGCUGUAUGGCCAAAAUAUGAUAUGUAGUCUUGUUUAUAUGUAUAUCAGGGUUUUAUCUAGGCAGUUAGUGUCACCACUCAUGUUUGUGCAACUACAUGUAUAGGAGAAUUAAUUUUACUAACAAAUAAAAAUGGAGAUUUUAAAUUCAGAUUGUUGGUUGUUGUCAUGGAAGGAGUUGUGGGAGCUAUCCAUAUAGCCUUAUCAGGGUUUCUGCCACAGGGUACGAAGGGUAAAAUUAUAUCCCCUACAAUCUUGGCAGUUGAUGUAUACAUUUUCAUUUUUUUUUUUUUUUUUUUUUUUUUUAUAGAAAGAUUAUAGUGAGAGAACUGAUGUUUAAAAUUUGUCAAAGUCUAUGAAAUGCAGUGUCCAAUUUCAUAAGAUUUCAAACCUAUAUACUUAGUAUAUAUCCACCUAGCAGGGGCACUUAUGGUCUGUUUUAUUUAUGUACCCUUAAAUUAUUUUUAGAAGUUUUGAAAGCUUAGUGAUAAAACCCUGACUGUUGUUAUAUACUGACACACUUUGAAAACGCAAAUCGGUUUUAAUGUGAUACUAAAAAAAAAUAUCUGAUGUAUAUCUAUGAAUGUAUUACUAUAACAUGCCAUGGUGUAUUCCAGCAUGUCAACGUGGGUUUCUGAUUCAUAAUAAGGAUCUUGUCAAGCAAUUAACACAAAAUGGUGAAAACUAAAAAUUUGGUGUAAAACUGAAAAUGUGUGCAGUAUGUUCACAAUACUUUGCACGUGCAAACUGCAUAUGUUGGACGCAUAAAAGGCCAAGAUUGAUUAUUGGAUAAGUCAGUGUGAAACAAUGCUACGACUCAGAAAUGAUCAGAGGAAGCGUUCAUUAGGAAUGCUGAUUGGUUGAAUUUCGCAACAAAGGGUAGCUAGGAAUUUUCAAAUGCACAAUUCAACAAUUUCAAGGUUGAAUGAGAGAUAUAACCUGACUGGAAGUGUUCGUGACUGUCCUUGACCAGGCCAACUUCUGGUUACAAUUCGCAGACAAGACAGACAGAUAAGGAGAAACCAUCAACAUAACCACUUCCUGUCUGCUGCAACAACAGCCAGAAACAUGAUAGGAUGUCAUGGGAGUCAAAUAAAUCCAAUUACUGUAAAUUGAUGACUCAUAGCAAUUGGAAUGAGACCAUACAAUGAUAGUUUCUCCUUAUCUGUCUGUCUUGUCUCUAAGUUGUAACCGGAAGUUGGCCUGGUCGAGGACAGUCAUGUACACUUCCAGUUACCUUAGCAUGUUACAGUAAUACAUUCAUAGAUAUUCAUUAGAUAUGGGUUUUUUUUUAGUGUCGCAUUAAAACCAAAUUGCGUUAUCAAAGUGUGUCAGUGUAUGUCUGGAUGUUGAUUCUAUGGUCUGUGAUUGUUUCAGGAGGUAGUGUUGGCUCACAGAAUCAGCUUAUUAAAAACUGAACUUGCUCGGGAUGGUCAUGAAAACAAAGGCUUGAGAUAUGCUUAGAAGAACACAGUGUGUUCUUGAUCUGUAGGCUGCAUGAACAACAUGAUCUGAAGACCAGAUAACAGCUGAACCUAGUGUUAAUGAGCAGUCAAGCCAGCGGUGGAAAUGUCAUACAUAUUCAACCAGUUGUUCCAUCUGUCACCUGUCUCAUGUAUAUACUAACCAAGCACAGUGAAGCAGACCUUGUAGGUUUUACUCACAAAGUGUUUUUUUUAACAAGGAAGAAUUGAAAUAUAGAUACAUAUCCAACAAAUUAUAGCAUGGGAUGUGGUUCCCCUUCCACCUAAUUACUGAAUUUUCUUAUUAUUGCAGAUGGUAAACAAGAUUCCACCAGUUCUGAUAAUCCUUAGUCCAUGUAGCAGGCUUAAUCUAUCUCUCUUUUUUUGUACACCAUCACAUUCAUAAAAAACAAGAUGAAAAAGGGGGGGGGGAAAAUAUAUACAUUAUAUAUGGGUUGUUGUGUGGACAAAUAAAUAUGUAUAUAUAUGUUUAUUUGUGAUUGUUGCCAUUGACACAUACUUUAGUUUUGCUAAUUUCUAUAGGUUUUGGGGGUUUUUUAAAUGUAAUUUUAAAAUAUUUUUUUAAUUUUAUAUUGAUUAUGGUUUAAUUUUCUUUUGAUCUCUGAGGUAUUAUUGAAAACCCCCACAAAGAAACAUAAUGUGAAUGUUAUUCUAUUAUUGGUUGAUUGUUGCCAGCAUCUGCUGUCAAAAUUACAUUAGUUUGCCUUGCAUUUGUUGUAAAUUAUUUGUUCAUCAUGCGUCCACCAUAUGGUUCUUUACUGUAACGCAACAUGCGUUAUUUUUCAUAACUAAAAUCUGGGACUAAAAUGUAUUUUGUUUAGCUAUGAUGAUAUACAUGUACAUGUACAUAUUUAUGAUGGUUACAAAUCUAACAUUAGCAUUUUCAAUAUGGUAUCUGUACAAGACAAGUCAAAAAGAUAUUAUGACAGUCGUUAGGGUAUGCAGCCAUGAAUCGCUGUUAUGUGCUUUCUCUGUAGGAGAACUAGUCUUGAUCACGAUAUAGUGUUCCCACUUGAUCUGAAGGACAACUGCCCGCUUUUAUAGCAUGCACCAGAUUCCAAAAACUUUUCUAUAGAUUCUGUUAAACAGUGGCAUAUCUGAAUGCAGAUUUACAUGAAAUAAAUAAUAUUUCAAGCCAGAAACUGUAUCUGUGCACAAAGCUUUUAAACAUAGAGUGUACUAAAUUAAUUAAUUAUAAUCAACUAAAACCAGCCAUGCCAAAAAUGAUCUUAUUUUGCAUAAAUAUCUCUAUUCUUAGAAACCGAAUUCUUAGACACUGACAAAAUUACUCCAAAUUACUUAAAUUACAUGCCCCUUUAAUAGCCACCACAUACUGUAUGCAGCAUGCAAAAACUAAAAACAAUUUAGAGAUAUUUUCAAAUCUUUGUAGCAAAUAGUGAUGGCAGCCAAAAUCCUCAUACAUAGUGACAAACAAUGAAUCUUGUUAUUGGCAGUCGUUCUAACAGGAUUGAUAUUUAGUCCCACAUUACAUUCUAUACAAAUAUUACUACACUGGUAAUGAAUUAAAAUUUAGUUUACAUUACAGAGUUUUCACUGUCGGUAUAUAUGAUUGUUUAAUAACACAAUUAGAGCACAUUUAUCAAUCAUUGACUAUUUGAUGUCCAAAAUUUAUAAUUUUGACAGGUAGCCUUCAAAGGAAGGCCAGUAAAAAAAAAAUUCCAUUGGCAUUAGGGAUCUUUUAUAUGCAUUUUCCCACAGCACAUACCAUGACCUUUGAUAUGCCAGUUAGGGGCAGGGAAAACAUUCAGUGAAUCCACCGAGGGUGGUUUCAUCCCAAGCACGUAUGGCGAGCACUCUACUGAUUGACCUAAAUGCCACCCCUAAAUAUGAUAUAUGAAAGACAAUGAUGCCAGUUGAUUCAAAGUUUGAUGACAAUGGCCUCUUUACAAAUAAUAUUGCAGCACACUGGUCUUAGAAUCAUCCAAAAAUAGAUUACUAAUGUAUGUAUCCUGCUAAAGAUGAUACCUAAACAUUAUCUGAGCACCAUACCAAAAUGGCAAGGUUAGCAGGUCGUAAUAGUGACUGAUAGUUUAUCGGAACAUCGGGUUCAUCAGCAUGCCACCAAUAAGUAUCACUUCAUUAAAAACAUGAAAUCAAAACUAUUAUUUUGCUGCUGCUCAAUUUUAGGGGUUUUGGGGGAUUUUUUUUUUUCUCCACUAAUUUCAAUUGUUUUGUUUCAUUCACUGGACUUUGAAUUAUAUACGAAAACAUGGUAGUAUCUCUCAUUGUUUGCAUUGUUAUGGAGAAAUUAUCUCAGUGUUUGUAUUAUAAACAGAUAAAUUCUAGGUCACAUACAUUACUUCAAUUUUUUUUUUCAGUGCCUUUAACAAAAUUGAAUAUUUGAGUGGUUGAUGAUAUAACUGCUGAAUCUUAACCUAAAAAAAGAAUGUGUAAUGAUAAAUUGGUUUACAUGCAAGCAUCAUUAGAGUAUGGGAAUUAGAUUGACUAAUGCUGGCACUAGUAUCUAGUACUACUAGUUCUUCUUUUUUGAUAUGUGAAAAUAAUUGUAGGUAGCAAUAGAUUUGGUUAAUUAUUGCUCAUACAAUUAUUACAGAUAUUUUCUGUACUAUUAAUGCACUUUGUAUAAAAAUAUGCAUGUGUUUUAUACAUAUAUGAUAGUCAUGAUUUUUUGUGUUCUCGACAUAUCAUAUUGUACAGAAUAUUUCAUAAUAUAGAAUAGUGUGAUAUGGAAGGUUAUUUAUCUCUUUCUGUGAUAUUAUUUUCUUUCAUUUUACAUUUCAUGUAUUAAUAGUUUACAGAAUGUUGUUAAUUGUGUCAGAAUACAGUUCUUAGCCAAAAUGUUACACUGUGGCACAGUAGCAAGACAUAUGUUUAUGAAGGGCACUAUAAAGAAGCUUUUUUGUAUGAAUGGAGGUAGAUGGUGCAGUCGAAGUCAUGCUUAUUACAAAUUGCACACCUUUGGCAAGGUAUGUUAAAGUUAUGGCAUCAUAUUUCUCUUGGUUCCAACAUUAUUGGUGCAAGUAAUGUUUAGCUGUUUCUACUGAACUGGUCCUUUGAAAACAUUGAUUUAUUAGUCAUCGUCUCUUGAAUGUCAAACAUUUGAUAAUGCUGUCAUACAGUCAUCAGAGAAAACUCCCUACAUUUUUUUCCAUUGGCAACAAGGGAUAUUUUAUAUGCACUUUUCCACAGAUACUAGUAGCUUAGCACAUGGCCUUUUAUAUUCCAGUCAUUGGGUAAUGAUAGGGAUGGGGGGGGGGGGGGGGGGGAACCACACCAGAGAAUGCGUCCACCGAAGAGGUUUAUAUGAUAUAGAUCAAGAUGGAUAAUUCACCUGAAUAUUUGUCAGUUAUCUGGUUUUGACUUCAUUACUGUGCAAGAUUAUUUAUCUUUAAUUAUCUUUAAUGUCUCUUUUGAAUGUUUUUUUUUUUUUCAUUAAAUCAGUUUGCACAUUUUACAAAAUUUGCAAACAUUAGAGUUGGUAAAAUAGCAAAAUAUUAUAAAACUUACUAGGAUUAUUAUUAUUAUUAUUAUUUUUAUUUUUUUUUGGAGGGGAGGUGGGGUGUUUUACUAUUAGUAAAAAUAGCUAAAUAAGGAAGUGAGAUACAUUGCUGUUGACCAUUUUUAGUGAACUGGAAGUCACCUGAAUGCAAACAAAUUGUAAUUACGAUUUUACAACUCGGAAAUAUCAAUUCCCGAGCACACCCGAACGCAACAUUACUUUAGGUACAAAUAAUUGGAUUGGAAAGUUUGUGUCUUUAUUAUUCUUCAAUAAUAUGGCAUUAAUAUGUGAUUAAUUUUUAAAAGUGAAAUAAAAAUAUGUACAGAUUUUUAAAUUAAAAAUUCAGUUCAACAUAUACAUGCUAAAACCAAUUUAUAAGUAAAAAAACAUAUUACAAAGACCAGUCAGAUUUGAGAAAUUAAAGUAAAAUUAAUUAAAUAUGUUCAGCACAAAAAACUCCCAAACUCCUACAGUUAAUUUAUAUUGUGCCAUAUCAGCUGUUUUCUUUUCUACUUAGCCUGACCUCAUACAAUGGCACAGUUGUUCGUAGACUGGUCAAUGGAAUGGCUUAAAAUCUUCCAAUGAGUCUUUUGCUUCCUGUUCUGGUCACGUGAUUGAAUAUGUCAUUGUAUGAAGUCUGGCUAAGUUUUCUACAUUUAUGUUUAGGAGGAAAUAAGCCCCAUAACAUCCUGCAACUCUUCUUGUAAUCAAAUUGCUAACACAUUGUAAAAACCCUGUUGUAGAUGUUUGUUGUAGUAUUUAUACUGUUUUGUUAUGCUAAACGAUUAGAACCAUUACCAAAGUUUGGUCUUAGUGAUAGUUUGCACAAAGUUAAUACAUUUAGUUUCCAACUGUUACAUGUAUGUGUUUUAUUGAGUACAUAUAAUUUUUAGGGGGUUUUAAAACCACUUUUUUUUUUCUUCUGUAGAGCUGUUUUGUUUAUGAUACUGCCUGUACUCAGCAAAAUUAAUUAAGAGCUAAUAGAUAUGUUGGACAUUUUUCUUCAAAUAUGGUAGAAAACAAAACAACCCAGAUUCUUCUGUUGUAAGAUGUCAGCGUUGUGGCGUUUUCUUAAAUUAAUAAUUUAAGAAACAAUUUAGAGCAAACAACUUAACAAGUAUCAUUAUGAACAAACAUAAAAUGAAUCCACCGAAUGUGCAUUUCAUUAGGUUUAUAAAUGUACAAAAAACACACCAUUGGCAAGAAUGUUUUACUGUAUCAUGAUUCAGAUUUCUUCAUGUUUUGAAGUCAUCUACGAUACAAAUUUGCAAAGAAUUGCCAGAAGUCUACUGGCCCUAAAUUUACUUAGUUGAGUAUACAUAUAAUCCAUAGAAGUUACUGUGCUGUCAAGUUACUAUCUUUUGUAAAUGUGUGAAUAUGCUAUAUAUAAUUAUUUGUAAAUAAACAGACAUCAACAUUUUCCAGCAGUGUUGUGAGAAUUGCUUUAUACACAGAUUUUACUGUGUAGAAUAUUACUUUAAUUACAUUGUAUUUUGUAAGAGUAUCAUUGAAUGCAGGUAAACAUUAAUAUUAUAUCACGUAUUCAUUUGUUUUACAAUCCUGUAUAUUGUUGCCAUAAAAAUAUGUGUUGUAAACUACAUGUACAGAUUAUGUAUAUGCCCCCUCCCCCUUAAAAAAUAAAAAUAAAUAAAUUACAAAAA
rnacentral:misc_RNA from 1 species